GCGGGUGUGGUGAAAUUGGUAGACACGCCAGACUUAGGAUCUGGUGCCGAAAGGUGUGAAGGUUCGAGUCCUUUCACCCGCAC
rnacentral:tRNA from 1 species